CGCUGCGGGACCGGUCCCCGCGCCCCCGAACCGGUCCCCGCGCCCCCGCCUGCCCCGCGCCCUGCGCCCCCGGGACCCCGGGAGCUGGCGUUCGGAGGGGCCUUUGGGGCAGAGUGCGGCAUCAGGGGGACAAACUCCCAAAGAAGCCGAGGAUUAGGGAACCUUAAAAAACAAGAAUCCCAGGUCACUCUAGUUAUAACAAUUCCUCUGAACUGCUUGAAUCAAACAAACAUAAAAGUUUAAUUCCACUCUUUUUACCUGGAAUUCCAAAUCACCCUCUGGAAGCAUAUCUUAGUGUUCUCACAACGGGUUUGUGGCCUUAACGGAAAAAUAGAAUGAUUCUUAAGUCUGCUUUUUAGAUUCUUGGAGCCCUCUGCAUCACGAGGCCCUUUAAGUGUUUCCUUGAAUCCUCGCACCAACUCAGGGAAGUAGGUGUUACAUCCUCAUUUCACACAUGAGGAAACUGAGGCUCACCAGAGUUCAAUUACUUGUGUGCGGUCAUAUCGUGUGAGGGGAGAAGGCAGGACCUGAACCUGGCAGUUUGCUCUGCAGAAUUGACCUUCCCGUCUGCAAGGCCAUGACAGCUCUGAAAAGCAUGGCUUGAUGAGCAGCGCCAUGUCCACACCUGGGAUCCGACCCAGUGGCCCGCUGGCCACCAGAGCAGAACGUGUGAGCUUAACCACUGCACCACCAGGCUGGCCCCCAGGGGCACAUCACCUGUGUUUAUGGACCACUUGACAUUAUUCAAGAAGGAUAAGUUCUGGAUCUAAAAAAGAUGACAAAUGCAGCAAAGUGCACAAUUGUGACCAAAACUCUCAACUGAGUGUUAGGAGAGACCAAGAAUGAAGUCGGUUACUCUGGGCAUUUUUGUGGCUGAUCUGGACCCUGAUGAGGUUAUUGAUAGAAGCUGAUGCUCUGAGAAAGUGUGGACAAGUUGGGCCCUGCAGGAUUCAUGCAAGUCAAAUAAUUGUUGGACCCACUAUAUUUGAUCAGCCAUGGAGAACACCCCAAGACAUCCCACCUGUUAGGCAUCAGGCAGAAACAGUCAAUCUUCUCUGUCAGUUAAAAAAUGAGAGGAGUGAGUGGGAGGAAGGAAAGAGGAGGAGGAGGAGGAGAAAGAGGAUAGAAAGAGAGAGAGAGAGUAGAGAGAAGAUUAAAAAGAAGCAGCAUUUCUUUUCUCACCAAAGUUACAAGACCUCCAGGUUGAAUUCACAGUAAUGAGGGGGAGGAGAAAGUUCAAAUGGAUAUAUCCCAUGCAUGGCAUUAAAAAUGGAGCUUGAGCAUAUGCAAACAGCAUGUCGACUGCAGCUCUGAGGUGAUGGCAAAGGAUGGGCUCUGGGGUGAGAAAUAAGCUUGUGCUGAGAAACCAUCUGGGAAAACUCUUAGACUAAUUUGAAUUGAACCAAGCUGAGACCUUAAGCAUUUCUUUCCGAUGAGAUCCAAGCUGAACAAUGACACGAGCUGAUGUGCAGUUGUGGAGAUGCCCAUGUGUCCUCGUCUGACAGCUGUCGUGGGAAGUCCACACCGCUCCCGAAAGCUAGAUAAUUAACUGCCGUUGGCUUUGAAGUCCACAGAAAGCCGCUUCCUACUGUGGUACGUUUACAGCUUCUACAACUGCCGCGUCAAAUGUUCAGUGUCUCAGCCGCGUCAGCCCACUAACUCCUUUAGAUGUUCAGGUUUCUCAAAGCUAUUCAAAUCCCUGAAGCUGCCAUGUGAGCUCUUUCAAGCCAGGUGUUUAAAAAAAAUAUGACAUAUUUUUUAUCAUUAGAUUAUUAAAUAAGUUUGCCAAAAACAUGACUAUAAGUCAUGGAUGUUUGUAGGUGUUUUUUUUUUUUGAUUGAGGGAGAGAUGUUUUUAAAGGGAUCAGAUUUGGGAGGAGCAGGUACAGAAUUGUUAAAUUUACAGAAUUGUCCAGAUAGUAGCAUCACACUAAGAAACAUGAAUAAGAAUAUAUUAGUUUAUUUUUUUAAAAGCUUAAUAAGGGACCAAUUUCAAUUCUCUCUACCUUAGAAGUUUCAAAAUAGGCCUUGGGAAAAAAUAUAUUUAUAAAAAUUUGCAGACUUAAGGUUCAGAACAAACAUGAGUUUGAACUAGUGUAUGUAGGUGUUGAAGGUUACAGGGAAUAAAGCACAACUGAAUGACAAUUGGA